GUGCUUGCUUCAAUAGCACAUAUACUAAAAUUGUAACAAUACAGAGAAGACUAGCAUGAGCCCUGUGCAAGGACAUGCAAAUUCAUGAAGCAUUCCGUAUUUUU